CCCGCCGGACCUGACUGCUAUCGGAUUGAUACUAAGCCAUGCGAGUCUUUGUAGUAAUACAAGGCAGACGGCUCAGCAACACGUAGUCAACCUACCCUAUGGACAAGAAUAAUCUCGGGAAACUGGGCAUAAUUCUUGAUAGAUCAUAAUGCCUGGAAUGGUUUAUGGUUAAAAUGAUUCGUCGCCAUAGGAUGGGACUGCGGCCUAUCAGCUUGUUGGUGAGGUAAUGGCCCACCAAGGCGAUUACAGGUACGGGCUCUGAGAGGAGAAGCCCGGAGAUGGGUACUGAGACACGGACCCAGGCCCUAUGGGGCGCAGCAGGCGAGAAAACUUUGCAAUGUGCGAAAGCACGACAAGGUUAAUCCGAGUGAUUUCUGCUAAAGAAAUCUUUUGCAAGUCAUAAAACCACUAGUGAAUAAGGGGUGGGCAAGUUCUGGUGUCAGCCGCCGCGGUAAAACCAGCACCUCAAGUGGUCAGGAGGAUUAUUGGGCCUAAAGCAUCCGUAGCCGGCUCUGUAAGUUUUCGGUUAAAUCCAUGUGCUCAACGCAUGGGCUGCCGAAAAUACUGCAUAGCUAGGGAGUGGGAGAGGUAGACGGUACUCGGGAGGAAGUGGUAAAAUGCUUUGAUCUUUCGAUGACCACCUGUGGCGAAGGCGGUCUACCAGAACACGUCCGACGGUGAGGGAUGAAAGCUGGGGGAGCAAACCGGAUUAGAUACCCGGGUAGUCCCAGCCGUAAACUAUGCAAACUCAGUGAUGCAUUGGCUUGUGGCCAAUGCAGUGUUGCAGGGAAGCCGUUAAGUUUGCCGCCUGGGAAGUACGUACGCAAGUAUGAAACUUAAGGAAUUGGCGGGGAGCACCACAAGGGUGAAGCCUGCGGUUCA
rnacentral:rRNA from 1 species